rnacentral:rRNA from 1 species
CGCGUAGGCGGCUUGGUCAGUCGGAUGUGAAAGCCCCGGGCUUAACCUGGGAAUUGCAUUCGAUACUGCCAGACUAGAAUGUAGUAGAGGGAAGUGGAAUUCCGGGUGUAGCGGUGAAAUGCGUAGAUAUCCGGAGGAACAUCAGUGGCGAAGGCGACUUCCUGGACUAACAUUGACGCUGAGGUGCGAAAGCGUGGGGAGCAAACA